GAUGAACGCUGACAGAAUGCUUAACACAUGCAAGUCUACUUGAACUUCGGUUUGGGUGGCGGACGGGUGAGUAACGCGUAAAGAACUUGCCUCACAGUUAGGGACAACAUUUGGAAACGAAUGCUAAUACCUGAUAUUAUGAUUUUAGGGCAUCCUAAGAUUAUGAAAGCUAUAUGCGCUGUGAGAGAGCUUUGCGUCCCAUUAGCUAGUUGGAGAGGUAACGGCUCACCAAGGCGAUGAUGGGUAGCCGGCCUGAGAGGGUGAACGGCCACAAGGGGACUGAGACACGGCCCUUACUCCUACGGGAGGCAGCAGUGGGGAAUAUUGGACAAUGGACCAAAAGUCUGAUCCAGCAAUUCUGUGUGCACGAUGACGUUUUUCGGAAUGUAAAGUGCUUUCAGUUGGGAAGAAAAAAAUGACGGUACCAACAGAAGAAGUGACGGGU
rnacentral:rRNA from 1 species